AUGAAAGGAAUGGACAGUGCUAACAGAGACAUAUAAUACAUGUCUCGGGUGCUGAAAAGUUCAUUUCUAAAUUAUAUAAGGGAAGUUUUACCCCCUUCUCUGACAACGUUGUCUCGACCAUUUUUUGAACCAUCUACGAUUAUAUCAUUACUUUUUUUUGCGUUUACAACCGAACUGUCGAACCUGUAUUGCUUGAAAGAAGCAUCCCUGUUAUCAAGGGAUUCAUUAUAAGCCCGUAUUUUACGAUUACUUGACCAUACAUGGCUCUUUUUCAAAUGGAUAAGGGAAUAAAACAAAACGAAAAUUUUGUGUAAAUAUAUAUAAAAUAUCGAUAUUUGUCAACCAAUCAUCAAUAUAUCUUAAUUAAAUAUUGCUUUAAAUUUAAUGUAAACAGAGGAUGGCUUGGAUAAGGAAUAGUAUUUAAUGCUAAAAAAGACACAGGUGUAAACAGGAAGUUAUGUCAGCCAGUAAGGGAGAUAAUUUGGGAGGGAAAGACCUAAAAGAAGUAUUGUCAAUCUUGACAAACUUAUCUGGUGGCAUGUAUUCAAAUGUUUAUAAAAUUAUCAAACAAACCUUUAAAGGUGGUAGUUGUUUCAAUUGGCA
rnacentral:lncRNA from 1 species